CGGAAUCGCUAGUAAUCGUGGAUCAGAAUGCCACGGUGAAUACGUUCCCGGGCCUUGUACACACCGCCCGUCACACCAUGGGAGUGGGUUGCAAAAGAAGUAGGUAGCUUAACCUUCGGGAGGGCGCUUACCACUUUGUGAUUCAUGACUGGGGUGAAGUCGUAACAAGGUAACCGUAGGGGAACCUGCGGUUGGAUCACCUCCUUACCUUAAAGAA
rnacentral:rRNA from 1 species